rnacentral:rRNA from 1 species
GAUGCACGCUGGCGGCGUGCCUAAUACAUGCAAGUCGAGCGAACAGACGAGGAGCUUGCUCCUCUGACGUUGGCGGUGGACGGGUGAGUAACACGUGGAUAACCUACCUAUAUGACUGGGAUAACUUCGGGAAACCGGAGCUAAUACCGGAUAAUAUAUUGAACCGCAUGGUUCAAUAGUGAAAGACGGUUUUGCAGUCACUUAUAGAUGGAUCCGCGCCGCAUUAGCUAGUUUGUAAGGUAACGGCUUACCAAGGCAACUAUGCGUAGCCGACCUGAAAGGGGUUAAGGACACACUAGAUCUGGGACACGGUCCAGACUCUGUAGGGAGGCAGCAGUAGGGAAUCUUCCGCAAUGGGCGAAAGCCUGACGGAGCAACGCCGCGUGAGUGAUGAAGGUCGUCGGAUAGUAAAACUCUGUUAUUAGGGAAGAACAAAUGUGUAAGUAACUAUGCACGUCUUGACGGUACCUAAUCAGAAAGCCACGGGUAACUACGUG